rnacentral:misc_RNA from 1 species
CCACUUGCAAUACCAAAAUAGAAAUUAUUUUAUCAUUGAUGUUUUGAAAAAGUGUUCUCAUUAAAUUGCUGGAUAUGUUAGAUUUAAAUAUGUAAAAAAUGGUCAAAGCUACGUUUAUACUUGGAAUCCUUGGAAUAGUGAUAUAGAUGUGAAGUUGUGUAGAAAGGAAAGCUUCUAUCGAGGUUUGGUGUCGGAUCAUUACUAUAUAAUUUGGAUAUACGGAGAGAAUGCAACCUAACUGUGAGGACUGAAGAUACUUGGAACGCGCCGGGGUCUACUCUCCUACUCAACUCUACUCCCUGAGAAUAAUUUAACCCCGUUGAUCCAGUCAUUCCGAGCGGAAUACGGAUCCUCCAAUCCUUUCCAAGGGAGGAAAGAUGGAGCAGAACGGGUUAAAAUCCGGUGACACUGUUGAGCACGGUGGGCUUGAGUCGGAGCUAUUAAAUGGGGUGAAAACUGAGACCAUGAAAGUGAAUGAUGAGACUGAAAAUGAAACCGUCCCUUGUAUUCUUGAAAAUAUCUCUGUUGGACAAGAAAUUGCUCCGACCAAACGAAACGUCUGGAAACUUUACACUUCAAGAAUGCUUACUGCCUGGGGUGACAGAUUAUGGGCUUUUGGUUACGGACUUUUCUUGUUCAAGAUCCAGCCAACAAACCUGAUGCUAGUGGCAGGAUACGGUCUAGCCAUGUCCCUUUGUGAUAUACUCUUCUUAGCCUCGGUUGGAAACUGGAUAGACAGGACGGAGAGAUUGAAAGCUGCGCAGAUUCUUCUCCUUGUACAGAAUGUAAGCGUCAUGUUUGAUUGUGUUCUUUUAGGAGGAUUUUUCUUCUUCAGGGAAACUAUCAUUGACAGUGAACAUAAAGAUUGGUUGCCACAAGUGGUUGCUGCGGUAAUUAUGGUUACAGCUCUUAUUGCAAACCUUGCUUCUCAUGGUUCAAGGAUUGUUGCGGAGAAGGAUUGGAUUGUUGUUAUUGCUGGAGAAGAUGAUCAUAAACUAGCGGAACUAAACGCCAACUUUAGAACCAUAGAUCUAUCCUGUCAAACAUUUGCUCCAAUCCUGGCCGGUUUACUGUUCUCCUACGCUUCAUACGUCAUUGCCGCUGCAGUUAUUGGGAUAUGGAACGUUUUAUCAGUGAUAUUGGAAUAUGUUCUUCUUGUCUCUAUAUAUAAAGAGUACACGGAACUGGGACGGAAAGCUCCGGUUAAAACCGACGUAAAGAAGGAGAGUUGGAUUCAAACACUAGUUAAAAGUUCCUUAAAAGGUUGGUCGAUCUACAUGACGCAUGACAUUAGAAAUGCUGGCCUCGCGCUUUCUUUUCUUUAUAUGACAGUUCUAGGUUUCGAUAAUAUUACCUGGAGCUACAGUCUGCUCCAGUGUGUUGAAGAAUGGGUUCUUGGAAUUCUAGUUGCUAUAUCUGGGCUCAUUGGCAUAGCGGGUAGUAGAACUUUCCCAGCCCUUCGGAGUAAGUUAGGCUUGGAGAAAUCUGGAGUUAUUGGGAUGAGUCUACUGUUGUUCAGCCUCUCAUUCUGCGUUAUAUCAAUUUGGCUCCCGGGUUCUGUGUUCGAUCCUACAUGGAGCUGGACAAAUAUUCCGGUCAACUCGAGCUUGGAGUUUAACUCUACGGAUGUUAAGAUUAGAGACUGUUCAGUUACCAUGGGGUAUGCAAAUUUUAUCUCAGUCGGAGUCAUGUUAUUAGGAAUCAUGCUCGCGAGGUUCGGUCUCUGGGUCACAGAUCUGUCAAUUACCCAGAUUCUCCAAGAAAACGUUGAGGAGAACCGGAGAGGAAUCAUCGGAGGAGUUCAGACCUCGCUCAAUUCUUCCAUGAACCUGAUCAAGUUUGUGUGUGUGCUGUUCCUCCCGAACCCGCGCACCUUUGGGUUUCUUAUCCUAAUCUCCUACACCUUCAUCACUUCGGGUGCUUUGCUGCUCAUUCUCUACGGGUUCCAGAAGAAAAAGCUCUGUUGUCAGGGAGAAUACACGACUACGGAUACACUUGAACCCGAACCUUCUCCGUCCAACACUACUCAACGCAAUCCCUGAUAUUCAAAAACUUAAAAUUUUAAAAACUUGUAAUCAUGUAAAAUACAAGGACCUAUAUAUAUAUUAAACCACUUAGAUUCUUCCUUCAGUAACUUCCUUGUAACAAAGCAUUUAUUAAACUACAUAAAUUUACAAUUGAUAUUCGUGUCAAACAAACAUUUAAAAUAUUUCUUUACCAAUUAAAUUCAACCAAUAUGGGUCCUUGUAAACCACACUUCAGUGUUUCGUAUCAACCAAACUUAUUAUGUAAAACAAAUUGUCAUUAUUAUUGUGAUUUCUAACAUAUACCGGUAAAUUUAACGAUAGAGUGAAAAAUGUGUCAAUUAUUCGAUGCCAUAUUCAGAUAUAUACUAUAUAAAUGUUGUUUAUGUAAAACUUAAGAAAAAUGUUCUUAUGUUCUUCACCAUUAAUUA